UUGGCGGACGGGUGGAGUAACGCGUGGGGAACCUGCCCUGUACAGGGGGAUAACACUUAGAAAUAGGUGCUAAUACCGCAUAAGCGCACAGUAUCGCAUGAUACAGUGUGAAAAACUCCGGUGGUACAGGAUGGACCCGCGUCUGAUUAGCUGGUUGGCGGGGUAACGGCCCACCAAGGCGACGAUCAGUAGCCGGCCUGAGAGGGCGGACGGCCACACUGGGACUGAGACACGGCCCAGACUCCUACGGGAGGCAGCAG
rnacentral:rRNA from 1 species